rfam:Ajellomyces capsulatus NAm1 scaffold_276 mitochondrial scaffold, whole genome shotgun sequence.
GGUGAAAAUCGCACGUACGGUUCUUAGAGGGGGAAAGCCCGAGAGGGCCUACCUAUCUCGACUAUUUAAUUCGAUAAUCCGCGAAAAAUCUUACCACAAUUUGUAUAAUAUUAAAUUAUUACAAGCGUUGCACGGCUGUCUGCAGUUAAUGUCGUGAGACAUGGUUAAUUCCUUUAAUUAACGCAAACCCUUACUUUAUUUAUCUGUAUAAAGUUACUCGCUAAAAAAAUGGUUAGAGAAUAGGGACCAAGACAAGUCAUCAUGACCAUAAUAUUGUGGGCUAUAGACGUGCCACACACGCCUUAACAAAAGGAUGCUAUAUUGUAAAAUGGAGCUAAUCCUUAAAAUAGGAUAUAAUAUGGAUUGUUGUCUGUAACUCGACAACAUGAAUAAGGAAUUACUAGUAAUCGUGAAUCACCACGUCACGGUGAAUUUAUAAUCAGUUAGGUACUAACCACUCGUCAGGCGCUGAAAGAAGUAUGUGCAAUAAGUUUGAUUUGUGUUUAUUUUAAUAAAUAUUUUAAUAUAUUUAUAUAUUUACAUUAAAUUUUCGUAUGUAUGACUUCAAUUGGUGUUAAGUCGUAAUAAGGUUCGUGUAAUGGAAAUUGCACGGG